AUUUUUUCUGCAAAUCGGCAGCCCUUUUCCCAUUUAUGCUAUCAAUUCUAACAGCUGUACUCUUCCAUGAGAUGGAAAUUGGUACCAAAACAAACAAAAACACCGACGCCUUAAAAGAAACCUUCAAAUGUGGAAUCCAUCGGAAAUGCUCAGAACCCAUCCAAUGUUCAGAGUGUUACAAAAUAAAAUCAGAAAACACGGAAGGCACGCUAAAUACAAUAUAUCGUCUUCUAAAAACGAUGAAAGGCACACUAAAUAAAAUAUAUCCUUUUCCAAUGACUAUAAACAAAGGCACAAGAACCGAAGAACGGUGUAGAAAGAGGCGAAGUUCUAUUAUCUCCAUUGAACGACAACGAAAUUAUUUGAGGUAAUAUUCUCAACAGCUGAAAGCUUAUUAUGGCCUCGGCGGCUAUCCAACCACUUUGGAAACCUAAGAUACAAGCAGACGAUAAACACCAUUUGAAGACUGAAAAAAAAAAUGACAUAAGAUCAGUUUAAUAAUUUGAUGACACACUAGUCCUUUCAAAGGGCACUCAUUCGCCCAAAGCACUCCCGAGACAACUUAUGAAAUUCUCUGCAGGCCAAGAUCGACUCCUUCGCUGUGCUUUGGGACCAGCACUGAUCUGCGAGCUCUCCGGCCGACAUUUCAGUCCCCGCACGACCUCCCAGCUGUGCGACCUGUGCAGGCCACGCACUCCACCUGCCGGGCCUCAGUUUCCUCUUCUGCACCAUCCAAGAACGUGGUGGCAUCACCGCCAGGGCCCUCUCCACCUCUGGCCUCCAGUCUCCCGCCCGCUCUGAGCUCUGAGCACGGCUUGUUUAUUUCAGCUGUGACAGCAUGACAGGGGACCAGACGGAAAAGAACCUGGCGUGGCUCUAGGGAAAGAGAGGACCGCUCUCUCUUUUCGCCUUUAAAAUUCUGGUGGUUCUCACUCAUCUUAUCUUCCUGAGAGCUGGCACCUGUGUGUCUCCCGGGCCAUUUCCAUCACUGCUGGCUACAAGUGUCUGCAAUCGCCUCUUGCUCCACACACGUUCCUUCCUGACCAUCUUGCCAGAUUCCUCCAGCCUCAGACCAGCUUUGGGGACACACGGCUCCCCUUCCUCCGAUUCUCUAGCUACCCCGACCCCAGGUGCACUUUUUUUUUAUUUUUUUCCUGGGCUAGGGGAAAAAAAAAAAAAAAAAAAAAAAGAACACGCUGAAUCCCCCUGCCUCACGCAUGCACGAGCCGGGGCCUGGCUGGUGCAUAUGUGGGAUCCCGCACCCAGAGCCUCAUUGACACGUUCGUAUUCGCUGCCUCGACUCCUUAUAAGGCUCUGCUCCCUGACGCUCCGCUGACCCCCCUGCCCCCGGGCACCUCGGGCUCGCCCACCCACCGUCGCAGACACUGCUUUUGAAAGGAGGAGGAACAGCAGGGGGGCGGCGGGGCUAUUCGCAAGUGCACCGUGAAAGUGUACCAAGCUAGAGCUGGCUGGCUGUGUACACAGACACGAAGAACAGAAUGUUCUGGGUUGCUCCCUCAGCAAAACAAGAAUGUUGUCAACUUGAGACAGGAAGAAAGGUCCAAUACCUACCUCUAACUACUUGCCAAUUCAGAUGAGAGAACAGAUGCCACACUUCACAUUCUCCCCCAGCCCUGCCUGCCCACAGGGAGAGCAGGAAGCCAUUUUCUGGAAAUGUAACUGAAACCACAACCAUGAUCCUCUCUAGCCAGAGACCCACACUCAUCUAGCUCCCCUCUCCAGACUCU